rnacentral:rRNA from 1 species
UCGCCUGUUUAUCAAAAACAUAGCUUGAAGUUUUAUUUUAGGUAAAUUCUGCCCAGCGUAAAUAUUAGCGGCCGCAGUACCUUGACUGUGCUAAGGUAGCAUAAUCAAUUGGCUUUUAAUUGAAGUCUGGAAUGAACGGAUUAAUGAGGACUUGCUGUCUCUAAAUAAUUUAUUUGAAAUUAUUUAUUAAGUGAAAAUACUUAUAAUUAGAAAAAAGACGAGAAGACCCUUAGAAUUUUUAAUAAAAUAUAGAUUAAUAUUAUUUUUUUGUUGGGGCGACAAAGAAACAUUUAAACUUUCAUUAUUUCAUGACAUUAAGAUUUGAAAGAAUAAAUUACCUUAGGGAUAACAGCAUAAUUAAUAAAUUAGUUUGUGACCUCGAUGUUGGACUAGGAACUAGUUGACUAACAGUCAAAAUAGAUUGUUCUGUUCGAACAGAAAUUCCUACGUGAUCUGAGUUCAGACCGGA